ensembl:lncRNA
CUGGUGAGGGGUCUGGAGCACAGACCUUAUGAAGAGCGGCUGAAGGAGCUAGGGUUGUUCAGUCUAGAGAAGAGGAGGCUCAGGGGAGACCUUACUGCUCUCUAUAACUACCUGAAGGGAGGUUGUGGUGAGCUGGGGGUCAGCCUCUUCUCCCGGGUGACUAGUGAUAGGACGAGAGGGAAUGGCUUCAAGCUGCGUCAGGGAAGGUUCAGGCUGGACGUUAGGAAAUACUACUUCUCUGAAAGGGUGGUCAGGCACUGGAAUGGGCUGCCCAGAGAGGUAGUGGAGUCACCGAGCCUGGUGGUGUUUAAAGAGUGUUUGGAUGUUGUGUUGAGGGACAUGGUUUAGGGAGAACCAUUGAUGAAGGGCGGAUGGUUGGACUGGAUGAUCCUGUGGGUCUUUUCCAACCUUAGCGAUUCUAUGAUUCUAUGAUUCUAUGAUUUCAGGUCAUGCUGACUGUGGGAAAAAUCUUAAAGCUUGCAACUGAUCGACUAAUGUACUAGUGGUGUUAUGAUUCCAGCUAAAGGACAUCAUCAACACUGAGUAUGAUGUAUAAACCAUGGUUUUUGUUCUAAAUGUCAGAGUGAGUGUGCUGUGAGUGAGAUGUGUUCCAUUCAGGGAGUGAGUGUCAGCCCAUUUAUGUGUUCUGAUUGCGGGGAAGCGUGUAAAGGAAGGUGAACGGGCUUCUGUGAGAUCUGCUUCCAAGUGCUUAUAACUGAACAAUAGCACUACACGGUGUUAAGGGCUGUUUGUGGAAACUUUGAGGGAAUUAGCAGUAUCUCUCCAAAAAAUACCCCAUUUGACCCCAAAAUCAGGUAAACGAAAAUCAUGCAUUUUCUCUUCAAGAAUCCCUGAUCUAACCCGAAAGUCACGCAUUUUCUUUUCAAAAAAUCCCCCAUUUAAUCCAAAAACCAUGCAUUUUCUCUUGGAAAAAUACACAAUCAAAAAUCACCACUUUUCUCUAAAGGAAAAAAAAAAGCAUUCAAUCCAGAAAUCAUACAUUUUCUCUUCGAGAAUCCCCACUUUAACCUGACAGCCACGCAUUUUUACCAGAAAAAUCCCCCAUUUAAUCCAAAAACCAUGCAUUUUCUCUUUGAGAACCCCCAUUUUACCUGAUAAAAACGCAAUUUGUCUUCGGAAAUCUCCCAUUUACCCCAAAAAUAAUACAUUUCCCUUCAAAAAUUACCCCAUUUAACCCAAAAAUCACGCAUUUUCUCUUCGAGAAUCACCCUUUUAACUUGAAAAUCACUCAUUUUCUCUUCAAAAAUCCCUCAUUUCACCCCCAAAUCAAGCGCUUUCGCUACAAGAAUCCCCCAUUUCACCUGAAAAUCACGCAUUUCCUCGACAAAAAGCUCACAUGUCAACCAAAAUCACACAUCUUCUCUUUGAAAAUCCCCCAUUUAAGCAGAGAGUCGUGAUGUUUCUCAUGGAAAAUCCCCCAUUUAGCCCCCAAAUCAUGCAUUAUCUCUCCAAAAAUACUCUCUUAACCCUAAAAUCACACAUUUUCUCUUGGAAAAUCCACCAUUUAACGUGAAAACCAUGCUUUUUCUCUUCAAAAAUCCCCCAGUUGAGCCCCAAAGCAAACAUUUUCGCUACGAGAAUCCCUCAUUUAACCCAAAAAUCACGCAUUUCCUCUACAUCAAUCUCACAUGUAAACGAAGAUCAUGCAUUUUCUCUUUAAAAACCCCCAUUUAACUCGAAAAAAACGCCAUUCAUCUUCGGAAAUCCCCCAUGUAACCCAAAAAUGAUGCAUUUUCUCUUCAAGAAUCCCUGAUCUAACCCGAAAGUCACGCAUUUUCUUUUCAAAAAUCCCCCAUUUAAUCCAAAAGCCAUGCAUUUUCUCUUGGAAAAAUACACAAUCAAAAAUCACCACUUUUCUCUAAAUGAAAAAUAAACAAACAUUCAACCCAGAAAUGAUGCAUUUUCUCUUCGAGAAUCCCCGCUUUAACCUGACAGCCACACAUUUUUACCAGAAAAAUCCCCCAUUUAAUCCAAAAACCAUGCAUUUUCUCUUUGAGAAUCCCCCAUUUUACCAGAUAAAAAUGCAAUUUCUCUUCGGAAAUCUCCCAUUUAGCCCAAAAAUAAUACAUUUCCCUUCAAAAAUUACCCCAUUUAACCCAAAAAUCACGCAUUUUCUCUUGGAAAAUCACUCUUUUAACUUGAAAAUCACUCAUUUUCUCUUCAAAAAUCCCUCAUUUCACCCCCAAAUCAAACGCUUUCGCUACAAGAAUCCCCCAUUUCACCUGAAAAUCACG